UACAGAGGUCUCAAGCGUUGUUCGGAUUCAUUGGGCGUAAAGGGUGCGUAGGCGGCGCGGUAAGUCGGGUGUGAAAUCUCGGAGCUUAACUCCGAAACUGCAUUCGAUACUGCCGUGCUUGAGGACUGGAGAGGAGACUGGAAUUUACGGUGUAGCGGUGAAAUGCGUAGAGAUGCGGAGGAACACCGAUGGCGAAGGCAGCCCCCUGGGCCAACACUGACGCUCAGGCACGAAAGCGUGGGGAGCAAACAGG
rnacentral:rRNA from 1 species